rnacentral:tRNA from 1 species
GCGCCCGUAGCUCAGUUGGAUAGAGUAUUUGACUACGAAUCAAAGGGUCACAAGUUCGAAUCUUGUCGGGCGCACCA